GACGAACGCUGGCGGCGUGCUUAACACAUGCCAGUCGAACGGUGAAGCGCCUUCCUUUUUGGUGGGUGUGGAUGAGUGGCGAACGGGUGAGUAACACGUGAGUAACCUGCCCCCUUCUUCUGGAUAACCGCAUGAAAGUGUGGCUAAUACGGGUUAUUCUGGGUCUGUCGCAUGAUGGGUCUGGGAAAGAUAUUGUUUCGGUGGGGGAUGGGCUCGCGGCCUAUCAGCUUGUUGGUGGGGUGAUGGCCUACCAAGGCGGUGACGGGUAGCCGGCCUGGGAGGGUGGACGGUCACACUGGGACUGAGACACGGCCCAGACUCCUACGGGAGGCAGCAGUGGGGAAUAUUGCACAAUGGGCGCAAGCCUGAUGCAGCGACGCCGCGUGAGGGAUGGAGGCCUUCGGGUUGUGAACCUCUUUCGCCAGUGAAGCAGGCCUGCCUCGUUUGUGGGUGGGUUGACGGUAGCUGGAUAAGAAGCGCCGGCUAACUACGUG
rnacentral:rRNA from 1 species